rnacentral:rRNA from 1 species
AUGGCACAGUCGAUGCUCAUGUCCGGCGUCAACGGCGUGGCCUCCGGCAGGAGCCUGCUGCAGGCGGCCCGGCCGUCGUCAGCGUCCACGCCCUUCUCGCGGCUCGCGCUCUCCUCCUCCUCGUCGGCGGCAGCGUACUACAAGCACAUGCCGUCCCUCUCCGUCCGGACCAUGGCCCUGUUCGGCAAGAAGACCAAGGCCGCGCCGGCCAAGAAGGUCGUUGCCCCCAAGCCCAAGACCGAGGACGGUAUCUUCGGCACGUCCGGCGGGAUCGGUUUCACCAAGGAGAACGAGCUCUUCGUCGGCCGUGUUGCCAUGAUUGGCUUCGCCGCAUCGAUCUUGGGAGAGGCCAUCACCGGCAAGGGCAUCCUGUCCCAGCUGAACCUUGAGACCGGCAUCCCGAUCUACGAGGCGGAGCCCCUCCUCCUCUUCUUCAUCCUCUUUACCCUCCUCGGUGCCAUCGGCGCGCUCGGAGACCGCGGCAGGUUCGUCGACGAGCAGCCCACCACCGGCCUCGACAAGGCCGUCAUCGCCCCCGGCAAAGGCUUCCGCUCCGCCCUCGGUCUCAGCGAGGGAGGGCCGCUGUUCGGGUUCACCAAGUCGAACGAGCUGUUCGUGGGGCGGCUGGCGCAGCUGGGGAUCGCCUUCUCCAUCAUCGGGGAGAUCAUCACGGGCAAGGGCGCGCUGGCGCAGCUCAACAUCGAGACCGGGGUGCCCAUCAGCGAGAUCGAGCCGCUCGUGCUCUUCAACGUCGUCUUCUUCUUCAUCGCCGCCAUCAACCCCGGCACCGGCAAGUUCAUCAGCGGCGAGGAGGACGACUAG